GACGAACGCUGGCGGCGUGCCUAAUACAUGCAAGUAGAACGCUGAAGGCGGAGUUUGCUCUUCUGGAUGAGUUGCGAACGGGUGAGUAACACGUAGGUAACCUGCCUGUUAGCGGGGGAUAACUAUUGGAAACGAUAGCUAAUACCGCAUAAGAGUAGAUGUUGCAUGACAUUUACUUAAAAGGUUCAAUUGCAUCCCUACCAGAUGGACCUUCGGUGUAUUAGCUAGUUGGUGGGGUAACGGCUUACCUAGGCGACGAUACAUAGCCGCACGGAGAUGGGGAGCGGCCACCCUGGGACUGAGACAAGGCACAGACUCACUGGGAAAGCGGCAGUACGGCAUCGGCGGCAAUGGACGGAAGUCUGACCGAGAAAGGCCGCGUGAGUGUAGAGGGUCUUCGGGUCGGAAAGGUCUGUUGUAAGAGUGGAACGAGUGUGCGAGUGUAAAGUUCACACUGUGACGGUAACGGACCAGAAAGGGACGGCUAACUACGUG
rnacentral:rRNA from 1 species